rnacentral:rRNA from 1 species
AUACGUAGGGGGCGAGCGUUGUCCGGAAUGAUUGGGCGUAAAGGGCGCGUAGGCGGCCCGGUAAGUCUGGAGUGAAAGUCCUGUUUUUAAGAUGGGAAUUGCUUUGGAUACUGUCGGGCUUGCGUGCAGGAGAGGUAAGUGGAAUUCCCAGUGUAGCGGUGAAAUGCGUAGAGAUUGGGAGGAACACCAGUGGCGAAGGCGACUUACUGGACUGUAACUGACGCUGAGGCGCGAAAGUGUGGGGAGCAAACAGGAUUAGAUUCCCUGGUAGUCCACACUGUAAACGAUGAAUGCUAGGUGUAGGGGGUAUCGACCCCUUCUGUGCCGCAGUCAACACAAUAAGCAUUCCGCCUGGGGAGUACGGCCGCAAGGUUGAAACUCAAAUGAAUUGACGGGG